AGUGAGAUGGUGAAUCUUAUUAUUCUAAGAACUGGUCUAGGAAACCCAACAGACAGAUCAGUGUUUACGGAAUCGUAUCGAUGUCUGCAGACGCUUUUCCCAGAAACCCAGUUGCCCAACUUUCAACUCCUCGCAAGAAUUGAUAAACGAACUAGGAUUCGUCAGUUGUCCAAUCUAAUGAAAGGAUUUAGAAUUUAUCAG